rnacentral:lncRNA from 10 species
GAGUAAUGAAGUUAAGUGGUUGGGGUGAGCUUGAAUGCUUUAUAUUUUUUAAUAUUUAAAACAACGUCAGCUGAGUACCAGGUGUGAAGAAGAGGUAAUGAGUGAAAAAAACCAAGAGAAAGGGGAGACUUGUUCCAACCGCAGAAUUUCCAGCUUCUGCAACGAGAGCUCGUACCUUCAGCCCCACUGCCUCUGCUCUAGGCUCUCCUCUGAUCCUCAGGACAUUUUUCCUCUCACUCUUUGAGAACUCGUUUACCUUCCUUUUCCAUCAAUGUCUGAUCACCCAGAGAAGGUGGGAGAAUAAAUACCAAGCACUGUGCCUUCCCUCAAGGAGCAUUUAAUCCAGUGUCACUGCUGACUUCCUGUGGAUAAUGCAAAGUUGGCUUACAAUAGUAAGGGAGACCACUAAAUUGACAGAAUCUUUGUAGCAUUUCAAAAGGGUGUCAGGCCUCUGAGCCCAAGCUAAGCCAUCGUAUCCCCAGUGACCUGCACAUAUACAUCCAGAUGACCUGAAGCAACUGAAGAUCCACAAAAAAAAUGAAAAUAGCCUUAACUGAUGACAUUCCAUCAUUGUGAUUUAUUUCUGCCCCAACCUAACUGAUCAGUGUACUUUGUAAUCUCCCCCACCCUUAAGAAGGUUCUUUAUAAUCUCCCCCAUCCUUAAGAAGAUUCCUUGUAACUCUCCCCACCCUUGAGAAUGUACUUUGUGAGAUCCACCCCCUGCCCCCAAACCAUUGCUCUUAACUCCACUGCCUAUCCCAAAACCUGUAAGAACUAAUGAUAAUCCACCACCCUUUGCUGACUCCUUUUUCAGACUCAGCCCGCCUGCACCCAGGUGAAAUAAACAGCCUUGUUUUUCACACAAA